AUUGAACGCUGGCGGCAGGCCUAACACAUGCAAGUCGAGCGGUAGCACAGAGAGCUUGCUCUCGGGUGACGAGCGGCGGACGGGUGAGUAAUGUCUGGGAAACUGCCUGAUGGAGGGGGAUAACUACUGGAAACGGUAGCUAAUACCGCAUAACGUCGCAAGACCAAAGUGGGGGACCUCCGUGCCUCAUGCCAUCAGAUGUGCCCAGAUGGGAUUAGCUGUGAGGUGGGGUAACGGCUCACCUAGGCGACGAUCCCUAGCUGGUCUGAGAGGAUGACCAGCCACACUGGAACUGAGACACGGUCCAGACUCCUACGGGAGGCAGCAGUGGGGAAUAUUGCACAAUGGGCGCAAGCCUGAUGCAGCCAUGCCGCGUGUGUGAAGAAGGCCUUCGGGUUGUAAAGCACUUUCAGCGGGGAGGAAGGCAUUAAGGUUAAUAACCUUAGUGAUUGACGUUACCCGCAGAAGAAGCACCGGCUAACUCCGUGCCAGCCGCCGCAGUAA
rnacentral:rRNA from 1 species